rnacentral:rRNA from 1 species
GAUGAACGCUGGCGGCGUGCCUAAUACAUGCAAGUCGAGCGAACGGACGCGAAGCUUGCUUCUCUGUCGUUAGCGGCGGACGGGUGAGUAACACGUGUAUAACCUCCCUAUCAGACUGGGAUAACUACGGGAAACCGGAGAUAAUACCGGAUAAUAUUUUGAACCGCGUGGUUCAAAAGUGAAAGACGGUCUUGCUGUCACUUAUAGAUGCAUCCGCGCUGCAUUAGCUGGUUGGUAAGGUCAAGGCUUACUACGGCGAGGCGGCAUAGCCGACCGGUGGGGCUGGUAGCCCACAUUGGAACUUGGCCACGGACCAGACUCCUGCGGGAGGCAGCAGUAUGGUAUCGUCCGCAGAGGUCGGGAGCCUGACGGAGCAGCGCCGCGUGAGUGAUGACGGUGCUCGGAUCGUAAUGCUCUGUUACUAGGUAAGAACAGAUGUGUAAGUAACUGUGGACAGCUUGACGGUACCUAAUCAGAAAGCCCCGGCUAACUACGUG